CCUACGGGAUGCAGCAGUGGGGAAUAUUGCGCAAUGGGCGAAAGCCUGACGCAGCGACGCCGCGUGAGGGAUGAAGGUCUUCGGAUCGUAAACCUCUGUCAGCAGGGAAGAACGGUCACUGUGCUAAUCAGCAGUGAAUUGACGGUACCUGCAAAGGAAGCACCGGCUAACUCCGUGCCAGCAGCCGCGGUAAUACGGAGGGUGCGAGCGUUAAUCGGAAUUACUGGGCGUAAAGCGCUCGUAGGCGGUAUGUCAAGUCAAGGGUGAAAUCCCCGCGCUCAACGUGGGAACUGCCUUUGAAACUGGCAAACUGGAGUGUGUGAGAGGAUAGUGGAAUUCCAGGUGUAGGAGUGAAAGCCGUAGAGAUCUGGAGGAACAUCAGUGGCGAAGGCGACUAUCUGGCACAUAACUGACGCUGAGGAGCGAAAGCGUGGGUAGCAAACAGGAUUAGAUACCCCUGUAGUC
rnacentral:rRNA from 1 species